rnacentral:rRNA from 1 species
UACGGAGGAUCCAAGCGUUAUCCGGAUUUAUUGGGUUUAAAGGGUGCGUAGGCGGCCUAUUAAGUCAGGGGUGAAAGACGGUGGCUCAACCAUCGCAGUGCCUUUGAUACUGAUGGGCUUGAAUGAACCUGAGGUAGGCGGAAUGUGACAAGUAGCGGUGAAAUGCAUAGAUAUGUCACAGAACACCAAUUGCGAAGGCAGCUUACUAAAGUUUAAUUGACGCUGAGGCACGAAAGCGUGGGGAUCAAACAGG